UUACUGACAGACGAAUACUUGUUUGCCUUCAUCAUCUGCAUUUCAAAUGACUCAUUAUGCAUCAGGCUAGCUAGGCGAUAUGAAAUUUUACUUCUUGGCUAUAGUCACCGAGCACUGCAAUUUGAAAUUACAGCCACGAAUUUUGGAUUAGUCGAAAGGGCAUUCUUAAUCUGAUACAGUCAACCGAGCACUGCAAUUUUCAAAACAAGAAGCGGCUGCUACCAUAUUAUUUAUGUUUACAAUUAACAAACUACAUCCUGACAUUCCUUCUUAUUUUUGUUUGCAUUCAGACGUGAUGACCUUGAGAAAAUCCAUUCACUUCAAUUGGACAGGAGUUUUCUGCCACGUAAUCGAUGAUGCACUUCACGUGACAGAAUUGUUUGUUAAAGGAACUUUUGGCAAGAAAUACACAACCGUGCCAUUCAGUGUUAUACCUCUGUUAUUGGCAAGAAAUACACUAAUGUGUAGCUCACUGCUGAGGUCAGCAAGAGGGGGUACAGGCACAUCUGACACCCUUUUCUCUUCCGGCGCCUUGCUAUUUGCAUUUCCCAUUCGUACCUAUCAUUUUUCAACAGCAUUAGAAUUGAUGUGGUAUGUAUACUGAACAAUUGGCUUGCCAUGUAUUUUUGGUGUUCCAACUGCGAACAUAGGGAAGAAAUGACUACAGUGUAUACAUCUGAUAAACAUUUAUUGUCUUGGGAUGUAUUUUUGG